rnacentral:misc_RNA from 1 species
ACUUAACUGAAGCAGAAUCAAGUAUAAAGACAUUAUUGAAAGAAAUGUUGAUUGGUGAAUAGAGAAAGUUACUAUCGCAUAUGGAGAAAGGGAAAGCUACGAGCGGGCGCUCUGAGCCUUUUCCAGGCAUCUUGUACUCAGAACCAGGAGCUUUAGGCCUAGUAUGCAACAUAAUUGCGGCAUUCAUUGCUGCUGUCAACAACAUACAAGGAGAUGAAAAAGGAACUAAAUUAACGGCGAUUGUGACCGGACUCCAUUUAAUUCUGGUCGGCGGAUUUCUUCAGAUUACAGCUGGAAUUAUGAGUUUUCGAAAAAAUGACCAUCUCGUGGCUACCUCCUUAACAGUAUUUGCCACACUUUGGGCAUUUCAAGGCGGGGCAAUUAUUCUAUCGAAACUCAUAUACAGUGAUGUAACAAAAUCAGUUCUUCCGGUGUACAUUGCUUUCGUUACAAUUGCGUUUUCGUUAUUUAUUUGUUCAAUAUUUGUAAACUUCAUAGUCCCUCCUGUAUUGGUUGCUAUGGCACUGACUCUGACAUUUGAGUCGAUAGGACUCUUUUUCACCUGGGGUAAGAAGACAGCUGUUGCUUUUGAGUUUUUGAUAGUUCUGACUGCUAUGUAUGCUGUAACGGUUAUGAAAACAAAAGGCAUCAGUCAGCGCUACAUAUUACCAGGUUUCGGUAACGCACCAAUUGACCCCCUUCUAAUAAAGAGAAACGCAAGCAGAACGAAUAAAAAGGAAAAACGAAAGAAUACAAAAUAUGCUGAACCUAUGGGUAUGGGUUACAUGGGAAGUAUCAUUCCCGUUUCUGUUGUUUGUUUUCACGGGCUUGGGUAUGUUGACGACAUGACGGUGCCCAUCUUAGCUGUUAGUUGUGGUGCACUGCUGCAAAUAAUUGCCAGUUAUUACUCUUUUCUUCGAGGUGAUCUCUUGUACUCCGUACAAUUUUUAACACAUUUCCUAUUCUGGACCUCAAAAUCGCUGGUCUAUCAAUUUUCUGGCAGUGCUGAUAGUUUUUCUUCAUAUGCCAACUUUUAUGGUUCAUGGGGUUUAGUUUUGGUUUUGGCUUUUUUCACAAUAUGUUCAUCAACGCAAUCAAUCGCCGUGUUUCUUUAUAACUGCUUAUUAACAGUAACUUCUAUUUUGUCAAUGGAACAUAUUCCUUUGUCAAUUCAAAACUAUACAUUUGGGUUGUCUGCAAUUUUGAUAUGGUUAUUCACUGUUUAUCUUUCGACCGCUCAUCUUCUGAAUGCAUGCGCAGAGAAGCCCGUUUUACCGCUUGGGUCAGAAAUUACCACCGAGGAGCGCCUCUUUGGCUGUUGCUUAACGAAAAAUAAUGCAAAGGAAAGUCGGUCCAUGACAGACGAAGACAUAGACAAUGAAAGAAGAGAUCAAACGAUCAAUGUGCUGUUGUUCCUUUGCAACAUGGUAGCCUCAUUUGCCCUAUCGCCAUUCGAAAUAUCUAAUCGAAUGAUGUCAUUGCCAUUUCUGUUGACAGCUGGAAUCUUUGGAAAUUUAUUGGUGGCACGUUUUUCGUACGUCCUGCAGAGUCUCUCGCGAUGCUUCAUUGCUUUGUCUUGUUGUUUUCUUUGGACAUCAUGGUCACUGUACAUCUUUGAUGCUACAGGGAUUGCCAUCAGCAGUUCUCUGGCCAUUAUUAGCGUCGGACUGUGUGUGCUCUCUCUAUUGUUGUCCAUCACAAUGGCCAAGAUUUUCACAGUGUUAGAAUUAGCCAUUCUUCUUCACUCCAUCUCUUUUACAACACACAUGUUUAACGCUGAUACCAAAUACUUCCCCAUGGUUUCAUCCAUUUUUCUAGGUCUGGUUGGCAUAUAUGGGUUCAUCUUAUACACUGUGAAGGGGCUAUUGGAUAAGACUUUGCUUCCAGAGGGCAAACCUUUGAUAAAGAUUAGGACACCAAUCACGUCAGCUUUACCUUGCCCCACCUUCCGGUCACGAAUUGCUAGUGAUCUAUUUAAAGCUGCCAAGGUACUUGAAAAGGGUGAGGUUAUUUGUGUUCCCACUGACACAGUGUAUGCUUUAGCUGGAUCCUGUAGCAAACCGGAUUCUAUCUCCAAAAUCUAUCACAUUAAAGGGAGACCGCCAGAGAAGCCGAUAUGCCUUUGCAUAUCUAACCUGCAGCAACUCAGAGUAGCUAAUCCACCUUUUAGGGUCCUUGGCUACAAAAUCUUGGAGUAGGCGAGGCAGCAGACUUCGUGGGAACAAAAGAAAGCGUGGCAAUCCGGGUACCUGACAGUUCCGUUCUCUCAUACCUUGUUAGCAUCACUGGCCCUUUAGCCAUCACGUCAGCCAAUCCCAGCGGGGAGCCUGACAGCACACACCACAAUACUGUCCUCGAUACACUAGGAGGGAAGCUAGCAGGGGUUGUAUGUGAUGACGAGUCCAAUGAGACAGUAGCGUCCACAGUAGUCAACUGUAUGAAGUUUGACGAAGGGCUAAUUUCGUAUUUUCGAGUCGGGUGUGUACCGAAGGACAUCGUCGAUAAUUUGUUUGAUGAAGUAAAAAAAGAACAGUCUGAUCAGAUAAACUAGAUUACAACGCAACAACCUUUUAGAACAUUAAAGUGAAACUUCAUUUCCGAAGAGAAAAUAUAAUAUUAAAAAACUCCUACUUU